AGCAGCCGCGGUAAUUCCAGCUCCAAUAGCGUAUAUUAAAGUUGUUGCAGUUAAAAAGCUCGUAGUUGAAUUUCGGGGUCAGUAGGUCGGUCGUGCCACUGGUAUGAACUGGUUUUACUGAUUCCUCCCUCUUGAAGAACUGUAAUGCCAUUAAUCUGGUGUUGCAGGGAAUCAGGACUGUUACUUUGAAAAAAUUAGAGUGCUUAAAGCAGGCUUUAGCUUGAAUACAUUAGCAUGGAAUAAUGAAAUAGGACGUUUGAUCCUAUUUUGUUGGUUUCUAGGAUUGACGUAAUGAUUAAUAGGGAUAGUUGGGGGCAUUAGUAUUCAAUUGUCAGAGGUGAAAUUCUUGGAUUUAUUGAAGACUAACUACUGCGAAAGCAUUUGCCAAGGAUGUUUUCAUUAAUCAAGAACGAAAGUUAGGGGAUCGAAGACGAUCAGAUACCGUCGUAGUCUUAACCAUAAACUAUGCCGACUAGGGAUCGGAUGAUGUUAAUUUUUUAAUGACUCA
rnacentral:rRNA from 1 species